rnacentral:rRNA from 1 species
CCAAUAGCGUAUAUUAAAGUUGUUGCAGUUAAAAAGCUCGUAGUUGAACUUCGAAAUUUGAUCAUUGGUCAGGCUUAAUUGUCUGUACUGGUGUUACGAAUUUCUACCUUCUGAGGAAUCUUCAUGUCAUUAAUUUGGUGUGGGGGGGAAUCAGGACUGUUACUUUGAAAAAAUUAGAGUGUUUAAAGCAGGCUAACGUCUGAAUACAUUAGCAUGGAAUAAUAAAAUAGGACGGUUUGGUUCUAUUUUGUUGGUUUCUAGGAUCACCGUAAUGAUUAAUAGGGAUAGUUGGGGGCAUUAGUAUUCAAUUGUCAGAGGUGAAAUUCUUGGAUUUAUUGAAGACUAACUAUUGCGAAAGCAUUUGCCAAGGAUGUUUUCAUUAAUCAAGAACGAAAGUUAGGGGAUCGAAGACGAUCAGAUACCGUCGUAGUCUUAACCAUAAACUAUGCCGACUAGGGAUCGGACGAAGUUAAUUUUUAAAUGACUCGUUCGGCACCUUACG